rnacentral:lncRNA from 1 species
GGCCUCUGCACAUUAGAUCCAAGGGCGGGGGCUCCCCAAGUACCCGUCCCUUCUGGCUUACAGGCUUGCUGUUGUUGCUGUUGUUGCUGCUGUUUGAGUUUUUGUUUGGUCUGGCUUUUUGAGCACUGCUGUCCCGUAACUUGCUCUGGAGACCAGGCUGGCCUUGACCACAGAGAUCUACUUCCCUCUGCCUCCUGAGAGGUGGGAGUAAAGGUGUGCCCACCACUGCCCAGUGUGCUGAACACAUGGGAGCCAUAACUAAGAGGUGUCUGUACCACCAGGUCCCGGCCAGCAGACUCCUGCCCAGGAUGCACUCCAGGUCUCCAUGGCAGACAGAAAACCCGGGAUAGAAUGAGACCAGCCUUUGUGGCAUGUCAGAAGAUGCCAUAUCUGAUUCUACUGGCCAGAAAACCUCAGAAAGGAG